GUCUCGGAUGGCGCAGUGGUAAACGCGCGUGCCUACUAAGCAGAAGAUCCUGGGUUCGAAUCCCAGUCCGGUACA